CAGCCGCCGCGGUAAUACGUAGGGUGCAAGCGUUAAUCGGAAUUACUGGGCGUAAAGCGUGCGCAGGCGGUUUGUUAAGACAGAUGUGAAAUCCCCGGGCUCAACCUGGGAACUGCAUUUGUGACUGGCAAGCUAGAGUGUGGCAGAGGGGGGUGGAAUUCCGCGUGUAGCAGUGAAAUGCGUAGAUAUGCGGAGGAACACCGAUGGCGAAGGCAGCCCCCUGGGCCAACACUGACGCUCAUGCACGAAAGCGUGGGGAGCAAACAGGAUUAGAGACCCCCGUAGUCCCUGUCUCUUAUAC
rnacentral:rRNA from 1 species